rnacentral:piRNA from 1 species
UGGGAAAUCCUGUCAUCCACAGCCAUGUG